rnacentral:rRNA from 1 species
AUUGAACGCUGGCGGCAGGAGUAAGAAAGGAAAGUCGAACGAGUGGCGGACGGGUGAGUAAUGUCUGGGAAACUGCCUGAUGGAGGGGGAUAAAUACUGGAAACGGUAGCUAAUACCGCAUACCAUCAGAUGUGCCCAGAUUGGAUUAGCUUGUUGGUGGGGUAAGGGGGCACAAAGGCGACGCUCCCUAGCGGGUCUGAGAGGAGGACCAGCCACACUGGAACUGAGACACGGUCCAGACUCCUAGGGGAGGCAGCAGUGGGGAUGAUUGCACAAUGGGCGCAAGCCUGAUGCAGCCAUGCCGCGUGUAUGAAGAAGGCCUGCGGGUUGUAAAGUACUUUCAGCGGGGAGGCGUUACCCGCAGAAGAAGCACCGGCUAACUCCGUUCCCGCAGCCGCGGUAAUAC